CGGGCAGGGAGAGUGUGUGUGCCUGUGCGUGUGUGUCUGUGUGUGUGUGCGUGUGUGUGUGUGUGUGUAAAAGGGGGAUGGAGCUGGCAGCUGGCCAGCUACCAUCAGAAUUAGCUCAUUGUUCAAUAUAACCAGCGCUGGCAAGCAAAACCCAGCCCGAGAGAGGGAACGGGCGGCAGGGGGGGCGGGGGGGAGAGAGAGAGAGAGAGACUUUCCCCCAGCCACCCCCACCCCUUUUUUCUUUUUUUUUCUCCGAGGCUGCACUUUGGAAGAGAUCAUGUAGAAAGGACAGAAAGUGAGCAGGGAGCGGGGGCUUUUGUCUAUUGUUCUCCUUGUGCUACUUGAGAGAAACUGCAAUCCCAAGACUUAACAGAACAUAAAAAUGGUUUAUCAGGCAGGUUCAAUGAUUUGGAUGAGCCAGAUGAUCUAUCCAACCAGCCGUGGGGAUGGGGGAUUUCCAAAGGUAAAG